CCCUACGGGGCGCAGCAGGCACGAAAAUUUUGCAAUGUGCGAAAGCGCGACAAAGGAACUCUGAGUGCUGUUCCACGCGAAUGGCUUUUCCUAAGUGUAAAUUACUUGGGGAAUAAGAAGAGGAUAAGACUAGUGCCAGCCGCCGCGGUAAUACUAGCUCUUCAAGUGGUAUCCACGAUUAUUGGGCUUAAAGCGCCCGUAGCCGGUCAGUUAAGUCUUCUGUGAAAUCUUCAGGCCUAACCUGAAGGCGUGCAGGAGAUACUAGCUAGACUCGGGAGCGGAGGAGGUCAGGGGUAUUUCUGGGGUAGGAGUAAAAUCCUUUGAUCCUAGGAGGACCACCAGUGGCGAAGGCGCCUGACCAAGACGCAUCCGACGGUGAGGGACGAAAGCUGGGAGAACAAACCGGAUUAGAUACCCGGGUAGCCCCAGCUGUAAAUGAUGCAGACCUGACAUUGCAAUGACUACGUGUUAUUGCUGUGCCAAAAGAAAACUAAUAAGUCUGCCGCCUGGGGAGUACGAUCGCAAGGUUGAAACUUAAAGGAAUUGGCGGGGGAGCAC
rnacentral:rRNA from 1 species